GUUAAGUGUAUAUUUAUAUACUUAAUUGUGCCUUUUAAUUGGAACUUUUGGUGUGUUUUAACGAUAAUUGGUGCUUAAAAUGGUUAUUAUUUGUAUUUUAGGUGCAAAUUGAAGAAUUGGCAACUUAUGGGGUAAAAACAGCAAAUUCGGAGAAAAAGUGGGCCAAAAGUUGAAAAAUCAAAAAUCUGCAGAAUUAAAGACCGGACGGCCGUCCGGAUUUAAGAAGGAAUUCUCGCACGGCCGUCCGGGUUGACGAGGUGGCGCAGUGAAGGAAGUUUAAUUACACAAGGAAACCCACCCUAUUAUAUUUUUGCA
rnacentral:lncRNA from 1 species